AUAUUUGAAUGAACCCUUUUCUGAACGGUCUGCAAAUGCCAUCUUUGUUAUUUUGUUGCGCUGUUUAUCGCUGUUAACUCAGUUUUUCAUGGGAAAACAUCAUAUAAGUGAAUUAUAAAGCUAAACAUGUACUUAUUUUUAAGUGAGGUGAUAUAAACAAUGUUUGCCCUGCUGAACGGGUGACCUUCAAAAAAAAUUUCCUCGAGAGGCAAAAUCUGCCAAAACCGCCGUACAUUUCUCUGAAUCGGAAUUCGAAAUCGAUAUUGCAUCAAGAUCGUGUCAGUAUACUGCAAAGUCUGGGAUUAAUGGCAUGAAUUCAAGUUAUUAUUCGGACCGGAUUUAUCGGGAACCCCGGAAUAUUGUUUGGACUUAUAGGUAGUUAUUCUAUCAUAGUGAAAGUGGGCUGACUGUAUAUUUUUCGAGUCGAAUGUUAUAAAAUAAAUCAUGCAUGUGUGAAAAUUA